rnacentral:rRNA from 1 species
UACGUAGGGUGCGAGCGUUAAUCGGAAUUACUGGGCGUAAAGCGUGCGCAGGCGGUUAUUUAAGUCAGGUGUGAAAGCCCUGGGCUUAACCUAGGAAUUGCGCUUGAGACUGUAUAGCUUGAGUGCGGCAGAGGGGGAUGGAAUUCCGCGUGUAGCAGUGAAAUGCGUAGAUAUGCGGAGGAACACCGAUGGCGAAGGCAAUCCCCUGGGCCAACACUGACGCUCAGGCACGAAAGCGUGGGGAGCAAACAGG